rnacentral:rRNA from 1 species
CGGUAAUACCAGCUCUCCGAGUGGUGUGGAUGUUUAUUGGGCCUAAAGCAUCCGUAGCUGGCUAAGUUAGUCCCUUGUUAAAUCCACCGAAUUAAUCGUUGGAUUGCGGGGGAUACUGCUUGGCUAGGGGACGAGAGAGGCAGACGGUAUUUUCGGGGUAGGGGUGAAAUCCUAUAAUCCCGGGAAGACCACCAGUGGCGAAGGCUGUCGGCUAGAACGCG